rnacentral:lncRNA from 1 species
GCCAUUUUCUCACAUUGUUACUUUGUUUUUAGAGAGCAUCUUUGGAUCUCUCCAACCCCUUUGUAGUGAGGAAGGGAGUCUAUGCCCAGUGAUCCUGGGUAUGAGAAGGUGCUCCUCUCCUCCCAUAUACAUGAUGAUGUGGGUUUAUGCUCAGGGGCCCAGAGGGUAACUUGUGACCACAUUCCUUGAGGGGAGUUUCUACCAGAAUAUUUAUAUUCUGAGCAAAGGCACAGGCCAGCAAUUCCUUUCCUGUUGCUUCCCAUCCCUGGCCUCCAUCCUCCUCCCCCACUGAGUUGAUGCACUGAGGAUGGCUCACGAGCCUGAAGUUACACUCAGUGAUGGCUGUGCUUAUGCAGGUGGUCGUCCUCCCCUCCACAAGCCCACAGGAUGGUGUUGGUCCAGCACCCGAGAGCCUCCAAAUCCUAUCGAGGGAGGAACUUUGGCAUUCAGGGAUCCUGUCUGUAUCAUCUUUGACCACUGCUCCUGCAGCCUCCAGAUGAAAAUGUCCAGUGAGGAAAUCUCAUUCUCUAAUGAAGUUACCCAUCCCGCUGAGUUUCUAAGAAGUUUCUCCCUGUGCUGAGCUUGCGUGUGCCUUAUCUGCUUCUCCAUGACUUCCAGCCUGGGGUCUUACCCUGUCCUCUGGAGCAAUGCAGAGUUGACUCCAUGGAUGCAGAGCCCACAGACACAGAGGGCCAGCUAUACCACAGCACAAAUAGUCCCAAGCAACAAGAAAAAUUAGAAGACAAUGAAGCAAUGCCUCAAAAUUCUG